rnacentral:rRNA from 1 species
AUUGAACGCUGGCGGCAUGCCUUACACAUGCAAGUCGAACGGUAACGGGCCUUCGGGUGCCGACGAGUGGCGAACGGGUGAGUAAUGUAUCGGAACGUACCUUUCAGUGGGGGAUAACGUAGCGAAAGUUACGCUAAUACCGCAUAUUCUGUGAGCAGGAAAGCAGGGGAUCGUAAGACCUUGCGCUGAUUGAGCGGCCGAUAUCAGAUUAGCUAGUUGGUGAGGUAAAGGCUCACCAAGGCGACGAUCUGGAGCGGGUCUGAGAGGAUGAUCCGCCACACUGGAACUGAGACACGGUCCAGACUCCUACGGGAGGCAGCAGUGGGGAAUUUUGGACAAUGGGGGCAACCCUGAUCCAGCCAUGCCGCGUGAGUGAAGAAGGCCUUCGGGUUGUAAAGCUCUUUCGGCCGGGAAGAAAUCGUAUCAGCUAAUACCUGGUGCGGAUGACGGUACCGGCAUAAGAAGCACCGGCUAACUACGUGCCAGCCGCCGCCGUAAAAC